CGCAGGCUGUGGACAAAUGAAGUGGGUCAGAGAAGAAACUCCAAUGCUCCAAGGCUUUCCAUGUCAACACCCUGUCAACACCCCACGGACCUUCAUUAGAACACUAUAUAUAUAUUUUGAUCAUAACACUUCAGUCCCUCACUCUCUUGGCUUUUUCUACAAUCUUUUCUCAGCCCAUUUCUGUGCCUGUGGUCUAGUGUGCCAGUCCCUUGUGUCCUCUCCUUUUGGGCCUGUCUUUCCCCUGGUGGCCACCAGAGGGUAGCAAAAGCACAAGGAAGCCUGGCCUACCUCCUAAGGAAGGAGAGGAAAGGGAGAGGGGCGGAGAAAAGAAGGAACCUAGCUCUGGUUGCCACAGAAACGCACAGGCCCCAACGACUCCCAGACCUAGGCCCGGAUUUCCUUAGACCAUUCCCCAUAAUUCAGCAGGCCAGAGGAGGGACUGAAGGAAUGAAUGGAAGGAUGAGUCUCUGCGACAGAGAAGCAGAUCUGGAUGCCCUGGAAGUCUCGCCUGCCUGACAGUCCCAUCUAAGUGUUGCUGUGGACAUCCUUUGUGGUGGCACUGAACGGUGUAGGGAGUCAGAGGCAGCUCAAUCCACACGUGUGGAAGAUCGGGUAGAAGUCGUCUUUAACUUCUUUAAGGCAAGUAUGCACACAUGUUGGUAGUGCUAUGGGACUGUUGUGGGCACAGGGAAGCAUGGGCCACAGGGUAAAAUGUCAAUCCAUCGGGGUCCCUAGACCCUGAGAACUCACUGAGGGAAAGAACUGGCUCCCCAUGUCACCAAGCAGAACCUUGUUUCACAAACAAUAAUUAGACACAUUAGGGAAAUGAUCUUGGAGGCCUCUUCUUGGGAUGAGGCCUUGAGGGUCCUCCCUGUCAUUACCCAACAUCGUUGGCUGUACUUGUGUUGCCCGGUCCCCAAGACUAGGAACGAGGCAGAUGGGUAACAGCUGGUGUUUGGACUCUCUAGUAAGAACGGGCACAGCCUUCUUGAGUCAUCAGGAAUGCCACCAGUCCCACUUGGUUCCCAUGGGAGUGAUGGGUCACUCAGGCCCCUCCCUGUCCCUGGCACUCAGGUGGGCAGGAGUCUCGACGGGGCGCUGGGAGCAGGAAAACGGGUUAGACAAGGCCUGAUUGCUCCCAGGCACCACCCAUGCAUUGUGUGUCCACCCUAAACCCUAGGCUCCUGUUCCUUCCCUAAGGACCUGGGGAGGGGGCGGCCAGCUAGCCAGCACAUGGUGGCAGGCCUGGGGCAGCCCCAUAGCUCCCCUGGGGCCUUGUUCCCUUGGCCUCACCCGUGUAUCCGGUUUGAUUUGGAAGCAGCUCCUCCCUGCAGCUGCCCCAUCCCUUCCAACCACACACCCAUUACAGUGGAUUUUAAGCCAACUCCAAAGAUGUUCCUACAGGUGGUGCCUCAGUUUCCUCAAGACGGUGAGCUGGGUAUAUUUAGUGGUUGCUGUGUGACAGCGACAAGAGAAGAAGCCUCCUCUUACCUAUCUCUGUGAUUGACGGCAGAAAAGCCCCAGAAAUGCACCCCCCCCAAAAAAAAAAAAAAAACCUGGCCACUUGGUUCAAAACCUGCUGGCAAGGUAGCUGUAUCCAGUUGGUAUCUGGUGGAGAGAGCAGAAGGCCGGGUGCCAGGAAUCCCAAACCAUAACUCCUAGGAGACCCGACCUGUCUGUUAGGCACAACCUCUUUAAUUGAAUCUGUCAUCCUACUUAGCCUAGCAGCGAGGGAGGUGCACAUAGGCCCCAGCUGCUAACCACGCCUCGAGGGUUACCCCCCUCCUGCUCUCAGCGUGGGGUGGGCUAGCAUCUGGGGACUGUGUGCCCUGCUCCUUCAGGGAGUUUCCAUUCAGCCCUCCAUGUCAUCUCCUUGUUGCCUCCUACUUCUCCGCAGAAAGGCGUCCUCCCCGUUCUUCUAUAGGUCUUACUGUGUCCCACCGGCUUGCAACGCCCUGGGGGCAUCCCGACUCUUCUCACAUCAACAGCGCCCCUGCUUCCUAGGCCCGCAGAACUCAGCCUUCAGCUUUCAGUGUCCGCGGGGGACAGUACGGGAGGUGGGGGAGCGGAGAAGGAGCAAACGUCUCCCCCUGGGACAAUUAGGGGCAGGUAAACAGGGUGUCUAACAAGACCCUGGAGAACGGAAAGGCUCCCAAGAGACUCUGAACUUGUUAAACCCCUAUCCUCGGCUUUAGAAGUCAAGAUGUAGAGUUAAGAGAGUGGAGAAAAAUGCAGAGACUAGGUUCUUCCCCUCUACUGCGCGUCCCCGAGGCUGCGCGCCGCCCGCUCCAGCAGGCGAGGCCCGACCACGUGUGCGCGGCGUGGAGUCCGCGCGCCAAGGCUGGGGGGUGGGGGUGGGCAACGGCGGCGGCGGGAACGCUCCCAGGGCGGCGCUUGCACACUGACACCCCCGCGCCCCGCCAGCUUCGUCCUGGAGGGGAAGCAGCGCGCCGGUCACCCCCGCCCCUCGACCCUGCGACAGUAGCGACAGCAGCGGCGGCGGAGGUUUAUUGAUCUGCAGCGGCGGAGAAGAGCGAGGACCCGCCGAAAGCGAGACAUACAGGGAUGGAAAGACUCUGCCAUAUACAGAGGGGAGGCGAACACAGACGGAUUCGCCCGAAAGGGAAAGGGAGGGAGGGAGGCACAGAGAGAGAGAGAGAGGGGAAGCCAGAAACCGGGAAAGGGAGGAAAUGAAUGAGAACCAAGCAAGACUUGGGGGAAAAAAAAAAAACGGCAAAGAGUCAGCAUUGAGUCCAGAGAGGCCCACAGCAGAGGAGACAGCGCAGAAGAGAAAUCUGGACACACUGGCGAGCAGACGAAAACUGACCACCACGGGCGUAGUAGAGGUCUCAAUAAAUAUUUGUUGAAUGAA